CCACGUGUCCCUUUCUCGGUUCUCUCUUGCUUCUCCUCUAUCCUACUCUCUCUGUACCCUUCCUUGUCUCUUCGCCGAAGUACACAGGGUAAACAAAACCAUUGCAAAAGGAAACACAAGCUACUACCUUCUAGCACCACUCUCAACACCCGAAAAGGCACCACCGCCGUGGAACCUUCUCGCCGCCGACGACUAUCACCGUGGCCCCAACUCCAAAGGUGCCUGCUGAGCCUCCAAUCGGGUUUAGCCUUAAUAUGUUUCUAUGUUUGUAUUAACUAAAGUGUGGAAGGUUUUAAUAUAAUUUGCCGGCCUAUUAUUAUAGUUUGCUUUUAUAAUUAUGGUCUUGUCUUUAUUGAUAUAUUUUUAUCAACUUAGUGUUGCUUCGAUUUUAUUAUUAUUCUUGAUUUGGGAAUUUCAUUUCAUAUGUCAGUUUCUUCUAUCUUGAUAGUUAAUAAAUUUUUUUCUCACUGGAAUAACAAUAUGUAAUGCUGAUGAUAAAAUAAAAAAAUUAUGUGCAAGAAAGCUAUUAUAUGAGGUAGUUAUGAACUAAGCCACUCCUUUUGCUCUUUUCUUUUACAAUAGAUUAUUUUCUUCUCUGGUUUCCACUAGGCUACUUUGAAUUUGAUGACUUAGUGGUUUUAUUAUAGAUUCUAAUUAGAAAGUUCUGUGGCAGACUGGGCCUCCUCCAUGUGUUAUCAAUGAGGUUUCUUGUAACAUCUUCGUUCUGCUGCCGAUGCAACUCUUGCCAGUCAUAUGGACCUUGAAUGAUAAGCAAUAAACUAUUGCAGGGACUUGGAAUUUUGAUAAGCCAGUUUCAACCACAAAUUAUCUUUUAAAGAAGACUUUUAUUUUCCAUUCAGAUAUUGCCAUGGACCAUAACCAUCAAUCACUUCUUGGCUAAAAGGGUGCUCAUCUCAUGUUGGUUAAUCUUUGUUUCACAUUCCUUGAAUUCCUCCACUUUUUCUUGCCUCCCAAGACAAAGCACUGUUUUACUGCAACUGAAAUGAGAGCUCACAAUUAAAAGGCGUGUAUUAUUCUAUUGGUCUAACUGUUUAAUUGCUUCUUGCUUGAAUACUUAUCCGAAGACUAGCUAUUGGAAGGCAGGUAGUGAUUGUCGUUAUUGGGGUAGAGUUACAUGCAUGAGAAUAUGUAUUUUAUUGCCAAAAUUAAUUAUAUGCCAACCAGAAUAUCCAAAAGUCCAAGCCAAAGUAAGGGGUGGGGCUAGAUGAUACAGACUUUUAGUGGGGAAAAGAAAACAACAACGCAGAGUGCCAAGUAGACUAAGAAUACCUUGUAUAACACUUCGCAAAUUUUCAAUGCGGCAGAAUUUCCUGCAUAAUGACUUGCUAUCCCUCCGGCACCAAGAUAAAAAUAAUAAUAAUAAUAAAUAUAAUGGCUUGUUAGUCAUCCAU